AGUGCUUGCAAAAUCUAAUAUAUG
rnacentral:siRNA from 1 species